CUCUGCUUCCUGAAUGCCACGAGUUUGGUUAAUAUUAUACUUGUUUGCAGAGCUGAGAGUCUAUGGUGCCAGAGGACUCCGCAGUGCCAUUCUGUUUCCCUUCUCCUUCCCACUGUUGUUGGCUGGCUUCCAGGGAGGAAGGCAUGGUGAAAGGGACUGGUGGAGGAGAGCUGCUCGUGUCAUGGUGGCCAGGAAGCAGAGAGUAAAGAAGAAGGCAAGAGGGGAGAUGAACCCUUCCGGGUCAUGCCCCCAGUGAUCCACCCACCUCUCCUGAGCAGACCCACCUCCCAACAGCAAGUUCCCUAUAGUGCCCCGUGGUUUAAUCACCUUCCAAAAGCCCUUCCUGUGAGCACAUGAGACACUUGGGGAACAUCCAGACAUAAACCUUUACAAUGGAGUUUCUCAAGCAAACUGAUAAAGGCCUUGAUUACAUCCCUGGCACAUAAAUUAUAAGUAACUGGUGCAUGGUUAUAUAGUAACUGAAUAUUCAAUGAGUGUCUGUUGAGUGAAUGGAUGAAUGAAUCAAUCAAUGAAGAGAUGAACUGUAGUUACAGCUCUAAAGAUACCCGACACAGAAACUUACCAGAUCAUUAUUUUCUGCCAAAGCCACCAAGAAUUUCUUUUCAGAAAAUUGAAGCUGUCCAGUGUUUCAUUUUAAAGGUACAUGGGCUAGAAUCUGCAUUUCCCAGAAAUGACAAAGAAGUGUCUUUUAUUUGCAUCUUGGGUUUUGAUUGACUAUUAUUUUUUACCCACCUUUCACAAGAUUGUGG
rnacentral:lncRNA from 1 species